rnacentral:rRNA from 1 species
AUAUGCCUACAACAUAGCGUUAAUGCACUGGAUCCCAUUAGAACUCCACAAUUAAGCACGCUCAACCUAGAGUAGUACUUGGAUGGGUGACCGGCCAGGAAUUCCUAGUGUUUUACAUGCC